UUAGCGGCGCUUUUCAGCGCCACUAAAAGUAUCACAAGCGCCGCA
rfam:Gossypium hirsutum cultivar TM-1 scaffold2541.1_1, whole genome shotgun sequence